rnacentral:rRNA from 1 species
CCCUACGGGGUGCAGCAUGCGCGAAAACUUUACAAUGCGAGCAAUCGUGAUAAGGGAACUCCGAGUGCCUGUAAAAUCAGGCUGUCCGCCAGUUUAAAUAACUGGUGAAGAAAGGGCCGGGCAAGACCGGUGCCAGCCGCCGCGGUAAUACCGGCGGCUCGAGUGGUGGCCACUAUUACUGGGCUUAAAGCGUUCGUAGCUGGUCUGUUAAGUCUCUGGGGAAAUCUUCCGGCUUAACCGGAAGGCGUCUCAGGGAUACUGGCAGACUAGGGACCGGAAGAGGUGAGAGGUACUCCAGGGGUAGGAGUGAAAUCCUGUAAUCCUUGGGGGACCACCUGUGGCGAAGGCGUCUCACCAGGACAGCUCCGACAGUGAGGGACGAAAGCUGGGGGAGCAAACCGGAUUAGAUACCCGGGUAGUCCCGGCCGUAGACGAUGUGCGUUAGGUGUAUCGGUGACCACGAGUCACCGAGGUGCCGAAGAGAAAUCGUGAAACGUACCGCCUGGGAAGUACGGUCGCAAGGCUGAAACUUAAAGGAAUUGGCGGGGGAGCAC